rnacentral:rRNA from 1 species
GGUGAGUCGGGUCCUAAGGCGAGGCCGACAGGCGUAGUCGAAUGGAUGAACGGGUGGAUAUUCCCGUACCGACCAUGGACCGGCAAAACCGAGACGGUGAGUACUAACCUCCGCCUCGUGGUGGUUCCUUCCUUCGGGUUGGUGUCGCCGCGUGGUGUUGGGAGCGUAGCCGCAGUAGGUCAGCGCAGGGGUGACACGGAAUGGGAGCCGGCCGCGGAGGUGGUUUUCCGUGGUCAAGCACGCAGCCAGUCAUGUAGGCAAAUCCGCAUGGCGCGCAUGGCGAGGUGUGAUGAUGGGAGCCGUUAUGGCUCGAUAUCCGGUUGUCCAGGCCGUCGAGAAAAGCCUCGGCGUGAGGGCCAUGGCCGCCCGUACCCCAAACCGACACUGGUGGUCAGGUAGAGAAUACCAAGGCGAUCGAGCGAAUCCUGGUCAAGGAACUCGGCAAAUCACUCCCGUGCCUUCGGUAUAAGGGAGACCCGCUGGGGUGAACCGGCUAGCCCGGGGAGCUUUGGUGGGUGGCACAGACCAGGGGGUAGCGACUGUUUACCAAAAACACAGGUGCAUGCGAAGGCGAAAGCCGCUGUAUAUGCACUGACGCCUGCCCGGUGCCGGAAGGUUAAGAGGAUCCGUCAGUCCUUCGGGAUGAAGCGGUGAAUUCAAGCCCCGGUAAACGGCGGUGGUAACUAUAACCAUCCUAAGGUAGCGAAAUUCCUUGUCGGGUAAGUUCCGACCUGCACGAAUGGCGUAACGACUUCCCCACUGUCUCGACCAGGAGCUCGGCGAAAUUGCAGUACGAGUAAAGAUGCUCGUUAAGCGCAGAAGGACGAAAAGACCCCGGGACCUUUACUAUACCUUGGUAUUGGCGUUAGGCGCGGAUUGUGUAGCAUAGGCGGGAGGCUUCGAAGCGUGGGCGCCAGCUCAUGUGGAGCCGCAAGGUGAAAUACCGCUCUGUUCUCGUUUGACGUCUAACCUCGACAAGUCAUCCUUGUCAGGGACAGUGCCUGGCGGGUAGUUCAACUGGGGCGGUUGCCUCCCAAAGAGUAACGGAGGCGCUCAAAGGUCCGCUCAGCCCGGUUGGCAAUCGGGUGUCGAGUGUAAUCGCACAAGCGGGCUUGACUGCGAGGACGACGGUCCGAGCAGGGACGAAAGUCGGAGAUAGUGAUCCGGUGCCGGCGCACGGGCGCGGCAUCGCUCAACGGAUAAAAGGUACCCCGGGGAUAACAGGCUGAUCAUUCCCAAGAGUCCAUAUCGACGGGAUGGUUUGGCACCUCGAUGUCGGCUCGUCGCAUCCUGGGGCUGGAGCAGGUCCCAAGGGUUCGGCUGUUCGCCGAUUAAAGCGGCACGCGAGCUGGGUUCAGAACGUCGUGAGACAGUUUGGUCUCUAUCCUCUGCGCUCGUUGGAAUCCUGAGGAGGCCUGCCCAUAGUACGAGAGGACCUGGGUGGACGAACCUCUGGUAUGCCGGUUGUCGCGCCAGCGGCACGGCCGGUUGGCUACGUUCGGGAGGGAUAACCGCUGAAAGCAUCUAAGCGGGAAGCCUGCUCCAAGAUUAGGAUUCCAUGGAUCUUCGAGAUCCUGUAGCCCGCAUGUUGAACACGUGUUUGAUAGGCCGGAGGUGGAAGCCCCGUGAGGGGUGGAGCCGACCGGUACUAACGGGCGACGGCGACAUAAC